rnacentral:lncRNA from 1 species
AGAACCCUUGUUACCAUUGUUGUGGGUAUCCAUUAGCUUUCUUAGGUUUCUGUUUGUUUCUUUAUAAUAAAGUUGAACAGCACUGUAUAUUAAUCAUUUAAUGAUUCAGAAGGAUGCUCUACAGCUUUGCAUGGCUUUUUAUUCUUUCAGUUGAUGUACUGUAUACUCUGAUAUUAUCACCAGGUCGAUGAUCUAUCAAAGGAACCACAAGUUGAGCGAGAGCUGAUGCUUAUCAAACUCAAUGUGGGUCCUGAAAGGCGCCAAGAGGUACAUGCACUGUCUAUCCCUGUUAUUUAUGUUGUUUUGCAUUUUAAACAUUAAAUUUGUUUAAAUUUUGUUGAUGGUAUUUGCAUAUCUAUAUUAUGACAACUUAUUGUCAUGUGCUGAAAUGUUUGUAUCAGAUGAAAUGAUGAAAACAUUAUUAGAAACCAUUUUAUUGGAUUUAAUGUUCCAUCAAAGAGGUUUCUGGUUUUCGGGUCACUUGUUUAUGGGAUGGCAAAGAUCAUGGAAAGUCUGACAUUUUCUUUUGGUCUAAGAUAGGUUGUGGGCUGUGAUGGCUUGGCACUUCAAAGAAAGUCAAAGGGUUUUAGUUUUGAUAUUCUAUGGAUGUCACAUUUGGAUGAUUUGUGAAAAAUUCUCAUUUAUGGAUAGGUGGUGAUCACAAGUGAUUGUGCACCUGUAGAACACUGUUUCUGUUGAUACACCAGAACAUGUAGGUCAAAAUUUGGUGAACCGCAUCAAUUUUUCCUAACAAUGGAACUUAGUAUGAGCUUGAGGUUGACUUGUUCAACAUGGCGCAAAAAUAUAAAGUUUCAAAGGGCACACAGAGUGUAAAUGUUAAAGCGGC